rnacentral:rRNA from 1 species
ACGAACGCUGGCGGCGCGCCUAACACAUGCAAGUCGAACGGAGAAAAGAGGAGCUUGCUUUUCUUUUCUUAGUGGCGGACGGGUGAGUAACACGUGAGCAACCUGCCUUUCAGAGGGGGAUAACGUUUGGAAACGAACGCUAAUACCGCAUGAUAUCCCUGGGGGACAUCCCCUGGGGAUCAAAGGAGCAAUCCGCUGAAAGAUGGGCUCGCGUCCGAUUAGAUAGUUGGCGGGGUAACGGCCCACCAAGUCGACGAUCGGUAGCCGGACUGAGAGGUUGAACGGCCACAUUGGGACUGAGACACGGCCCAGACUCCUACGGGAGGCAGCAGUGGGGAAUAUUGGUCAAUGGGGGAAACCCUGAACCAGCGACGCCGCGUGAGGGAAGAAGGUCUUCGGAUUGUAAACCUCUGUCUUUGGGGACGAAGAAAAUGACGGUACCCAAGGAGGAAGCCACGGCUAACUACGUGCCAGCAGCCGCGGUAAUACGUAGGUGGCAAGCGUUGUCCGGAAUUACUGGGUGUAAAGGGAGCGUAGGCGGGGCGGCAAGCAAAAUGUGAAACUGAUCGGCUCAACCGGUCAUUGCGUUUUGAACUGUCGCUCUUGAGUGGAGUAGAGGCAGGCGGAAUUCCUAGUGUAGCGGUGAAAUGCGUAGAUAUUAGGAGGAACACCAGUGGCGAAGGCGGCCUGCUGGGCUUUUACUGACGCUGAGGCUCGAAAGCAUGGGUAGCAAACAGGAUUAGAUACCCUGGUAGUCCAUGCCGUAAACGAUGAUUACUAGGUGUGGGGGGUCUGACCCCUUCCGUGCCGCAGUUAACACAAUAAGUAAUCCACCUGGGGAGUACGACCGCAAGGUUGAAACUCAAAGGAAUUGACGGGGCCCCGCACAAGCAGUGGAGUAUGUGGUUUAAUUCGACGCAACGCGAAGAACCUUACCAGGUCUUGACAUCCCAAGAAUCCCUCAGAGACGAGGGAGUGCCCUUCGGGGAGCUUGGAGACAGGUGGUGCAUGGUUGUCGUCAGCUCGUGUCGUGAGAUGUUGGGUUAAGUCCCGCAACGAGCGCAACCCCUAUGAUUAGUUGCUACGCAAGAGCACUCUAAUCAGACUGCCGUUGACAAAACGGAGGAAGGUGGGGAUGAUGUCAAAUCAUCAUGCCCUUUAUGACCUGGGCUACACACGUACUACAAUGGCCGUAAACAGAGGGAAGCAAGUCCGCGAGGAGGAGCAAACCCCUAAAAACGGUCUCAGUUCAGAUUGCAGGCUGCAACUCGCCUGCAUGAAGUUGGAAUUGCUAGUAAUCGUGGAUCAGCAUGCCACGGUGAAUACGUUCCCGGGGCUUGUACACACCGCCCGUCAAACUAUGAGAGCCGGUAACACCCGAAGUCAGUAGCCUAACCGCAAGGAGGGCGCUGCCGAAGGUGGGAUUGGUGAUUGGAGUU